ensembl:rRNA 5S_rRNA 5S ribosomal RNA
GGCCACAGCCAUAUUAACCUGCAGCCCAAGACCAGAUACUCACUAAAGCUAAGCAGGGCUUUGCCUGGGCUGAGUACCUGGAUGGGAGACCACAUAGGAAAACUAGGUUGCUGUUGGAG